GAUGAACGCUGGCGGCGUGCCUAAUACAUGCAAGUCGAGCGAACGGACGAGAAGCUUGCUUCUCUGAUGUUAGCGGCGGACGGGGGAGUAACACGUUGAUAACCUACCUAUAAGACUGGGAUAACUUCGGGAAACCGGAGCUAAUACCGGAUAAUAUUUUGAACCGCAGGGUUCAAAAGUGAAAGACGGUCUUGCUGUCACUUAUAGAUGGAUCCGCGCUUCAUUAGCUAGUUGGUAAGGUAACGGCUUACCAAGGCAACGAUGCAUAGCCGACCUGAGAGGGUGAUCGGCCACACUGGAACUGUGACACGGUCCAGACUCCUACGGGAGGCAGCAGUAGGGAAUCUUCCGCAAUGGGCGAAAGCCUGACGGAGCAACGCCGCGUGAGUGCUGAAGGUCUUCGGAUCGUAAAACUCUGUUAUUAGGGAAGAACAUAUGUGUAAGUAACUGUGCACAUCUUGACGGUACCUAAUCAGAAAGCCACGGCUAACUACGUG
rnacentral:rRNA from 1 species